rnacentral:rRNA from 1 species
UGGGGAAUCUUGGACAAUGGGCGCAAGCCUGAUCCAGCCAUGCCGCGUGAGCGAUGAAGGCCUUAGGGUUGUAAAGCUCUUUCACCGGUGAAGAUAAUGACGGUAGCCGGAGAAGAAGCCCCGGCUAACUCCGUGCCAGCAGCCGCGGUAAUACGGAGGGGGUUAGCGUUGUUCGGAAUUACUGGGCGUAAAGCGCACGUAGGCGGACCAGAAAGUUGGGGGUGAAAUCCCGGGGGCUCAACCCCGGAACUGCCUCCAAAACUAUUGGUCUAGAGUUCGAGAGAGGUGAGUGGAAUUCCAAGUGUAGAGGUGAAAUUCGUAGAUAUUUGGAGGAACACCAGUGGCGAAGGCGGCUCACUGGCUCGAUACUGACGCUGAGGUGCGAAAGUGUGGGGAGCAAACAGGAUUAGAUACCCUGGUAGUCCACACCGUAAAACGAUGAAUGUUAGCCGUCGGGCAGUAUACUGUUCGGUGGCGCAGCUAACGCAUUAAACAUUCCGCCU